UACGAAGGGGGCUAGCGUUGCUCGGAAUCACUGGGCGUAAAGCGCACGUAGGCGGAUCUUUAAGUCAGGGGUGAAAUCCUGGAGCUCAACUCCAGAACUGCCUUUGAUACUGGAGAGCUUGAGUCCGGGAGAGGUGAGUGGAACUCCGAGUGUAGAGGUGAAAUUCGUAGAUAUUCGGAAGAACACCAGUGGCGAAGGCGGCGACCUGGUCCGACACUGACGCUGAGGCGCGAAAGCGUGGGGAGCAAACAGG
rnacentral:rRNA from 1 species